GCCUUGGAGUCAGCCAGACCCUCUAGUUGCAGUCUUGGUAGGAGAAAAAGGAGGGUGCAGUGGUUGUUCUGCCUUCUUGAGGCUUUGACAAGGGCCUGGUGCCACCUUCCUCUCUGACCAGAUAUGGGCCUGGGGAAUGGCCAGACUGGGAAAGCAUAGGAAUAAAAGAACACAUUUGCUGAAGACGCUGUUGCUGUUACCUAAAUCAACACCCAUGUUUAACAGUUAAAAGCGACAACCUACAAGGAAGAAGGUCUCUUUUGUUAAUGUGCCUCAAAAAGUGUACUUAAGUGUUUGAGUUUGAGUGAGAGGCCUAAAAACAGCUGCAAAUGUUUCUCCUUCGCAGAGGCUAGUGAAGAUUAGAAGGAGAAAAUGGCAGUCUCGGGAUGAUAUGUUCUCGGAGCUCCGGAUGUCCUCCCACGCUUACAGAGCACAGCAAAAUGCGUGGAAGCAGACAAUGUCAGAGUGCUGAAAAGCACAAUAUGAAUGAGAGGAGAGGUGGCGGGCUGAAUUGUGGGCU